UUCACCAACUUCGAAGAGGCAAGGAAUUUGAGUGUAGGUAAAAUUGUGAAAGGGAGGGAAGUGCGGAACAGGCUGUAACAAAACAAGCGUCUCUAUUACCUAAAAUAAACUUAUAAAGCACCCGAGGCUAUUACCCUAUUCAUACCAGAGCAGAGUUAGGAUUUUCACUCGCAGCAGAUCGAGUUACCGCUCAAAAAAUCAAGACAAGCAGGUCCAUACCGUGAGCACAGACUUCUCUCAUCACCUGAAGACCUUUGAGUAUUACAGUCAUUACGCACCCAGCCAUCAUCUCCUUCCAACUCCAAUCAGCCAUUCCUAUCUGCUACUCCCUGCGUAACCCCCGUUCUCCUCCCCACUCCUCCACUCUCAGUGUGCUUGAUGGUGGGACUGGACAGGUCACAGGGAUUGGAUGUCAAGCCUGAGAGUCUGGAUGUGAGCAGCUGAAGCCCUUCUUUUCUUUAAGUGCUACUAAUAUAAACGGCCUGUUAAACGGAUGCAGAGUUUUUGGACCACCAAUGGUAAAGUGCUGCUCUUUCACUUGGAAUUACCCCUGUGGUUGGUGUCUUUUCACUCCUACAGAAAAAAGAAAAACACACCAAAUUGAAUUACCAGUACAAAGAUUGGUACACCACACCCCCACCGACCCAACCUUACCUGGCCUCACCACACUCCACCAAGAGGAGAGAUGCAAAACAAGCCAUUUUGUGGUAUGAAGGGGCAGACAUUGGGUUCAAAUGCAGGAAGAGAGAAGUGACAGUAGCGACAUGGCUGUUUUGUCUAAACAGUAAUAUGUAUUUGUUUUUGUUGAGAUAUUUUGUGAGUGCAAGCCUAGAAUGUGACUACAGAAAAAUAUUGUGUAUUUGAUAAAAAUUGUGUAUUUAACCUCUAAAAAAGAUAAGCAAAUUUGACUAAAUGUCUUUUAAAAUAAAUAUCACACAGAACACUUCCCUCAUCACACGCCUGAAUUAUUGAAUGCAAUGAGUGGAUGAAAUGCUGAUUUAAAACCGAACUGACAGUAAACAACAAAUCAUGCAGCCAUUCUGUUGCUCCACAGCAAGGUAGCAUCUUACAGAACAUAUGAUCAAAAAUAGAUACAAUUUUAAAAUGAAUUACUCCCAGGUUAGAAAUUCCCAUUUGCUAAGAACUCAGAUUGCAUAUUGAUGGGUAAAAAAGUUCAGUGCGGGCACAACCCUAUUCAAUCAUUUGAAAAAUAGAUGGUGGAUACCUUUAAAAAGUAAGAGAUACAUUAAGCCAUACAAAGGAGCAAGAACAUCUUCGCUGCAACAAUUGCUUCAAGAGCCCGCUCUUUCUUCCUCACUUUUUCCCUUUUCCCCUUUCGCUUUCUUUUUUUUUUCCUCUACCUGACUUUUACAACUUCCUCCUGGUUGGGGCUGCAGCUCUAACCCAAACAAAACUCCAUUUUUUAGUUAUUGGCCCUCAUGGCAUGUAAUGGAGAAUCAAGCUAAUUAUCCCUACAGCUGUUUUCACUUGCUUUUUAUGUAAGCAAUACCUGGCUGAUCCAGAGAGCAACAGUGAGGCCCUUCUUAGCGCUCCAGGCCUCCAGGCCGGCUGGAAUUAGAGAGUAAAAUGCCAGGUUUUUGUCCUCCUCCCCCCCGAUCCUGCCCGUGUGUACCACUGCACCCAUCUCCCAGCACACAACCCAGCUCCACACAACCCCCCCCCCCCCGUACACCAAAAGCUUCCAUUUCCACUCCCUCAUACACCUUCCAAAGCUCCCCCUUUGAUGUUACACAAAGCUGCUCUUCAACAAUUAAGAUGACAAGCGCUCAUUUUCUUCUAUUGAUGGUCUUAGCAAUUAAUGAAUGAGGUGAGCGAGGGUGUGUCAUGAAUUUAAAUUGCAACCAUCUCCUGCUGUCAUAGAACUAAAAGUAGAGAGAGAGGGUGCAAAAAAAAAAAGAGUCAGGGAAAGACAGACAGAAGGGUAAAGGCAGAGAGAGGGGGAGAGGGGAGUAAAGAGUGAAAGAAAACAAUCCCUCAAAGGCUAAUUACAUAAUUUCCUUCAUCUGAACAAACACAUGCUGGGUGAAAGCAAGUGUGAGCAAGUCUCACAGAUGCCAGGCCAAGAGGUGCUAAGGAGCCCUACUAACACACUCUACUCCCUGUCAACGGACAGCCUAUGCCACCAAAGAACUGAGCAAGAUCUCAGAGGCAGCAUUAUCUGCACCAUUUGUAGCCUUUGAGGGAUUCAUAUCCAAAACCUCAGUAUUUAUCCUCCCUUCUCCAGAAAUCUCUGGGUAAAGAGACUUUCUGCAGAUGAACAAUUCCUGGUGUAAUGUUUCCCUCAUUACAGUUUGUUCUGACCUGCAGCCAGAAAUCUGUUUAGUCCUAUCACCACUAGGUGGAGUUGACUGUUGAUGAAAAAAAGGAAGAAAAUCUCAUGUAUCAAACUCAUUAAACUCCCAUGGAGAGGCAGCAUGCAUCUGUAAGUGAGUCAGACAAAGUCUUUGCUUCACAUGGGCCUUUUCCGGGCUUUCCUCUUGUUCAAACUCUGCUUCACUGGCAUGCAUCAACUCUUCAUAUACCUCCUCAACCGACAGAGACAGAGAAAGGAGAAAGACAGAAGGAACACUGGUAGCAAUUUUUAAACUUUUAUUAUGCUAGCUAAAUUGCUGUUAAGUCUCUGUCGUACACAUAAAGCAAAAGAUCAAUCCCUCCCUUGAACUCUACCCCUCUCCCUUUCCCUUCCUUUCUCUUUUUUUGUCUCUAAUCCUGUGAGGAAUGAUGGAGGGCUCUCUGUGGAAUGGAGGUGAGUUUCCUGAGUCCAGCCAAGGUGUGCCAAUGUUCAAACGAUACGGGUGGAAUCUGCAGUACGUACUCCUGAUGGGGAUGUUUUGACAUAUUUUGCACACAGACACAAGUUUCAAAUCUUCAAAGACAUUUACUGUAUGUAUGUGCAUUUGCUUGCAUUUAAAGCAGCACAUGCACAUGAAUGCUGAAAAUCAUUCAGACAAAUAUAAAGGCUCUAGUGUCAAACAGGGAGGUUUAAAACGUGUAAUUGGUAGGACAUGUUCAAAUAUUCAUUUAUCACUUAAAAAGCCCUCAGGCCAAAGUGAAACUAUGUUAAUAAAAGGUAAAAUGUUCAUGCAGGUCUUAAAUACAAGUUUGCGCAACAACAAUAAAAGGUGCAUGGAUUCCAUUCUAACCCCAAAUGCCAUGCUCCUCCUCCUCCCACCUCUGUCUCUCUUGAUCCGUCUCUCUUAAUGCGCAGUAGGAAGUUCCUUCUGCUAAUCUCACCUAUUUACUCCUCCAAGCUUUUCUAUCACAGGAUUUCUUCUCUUUCCGCCUCUCUGUAGGCAGUGUGAGUGGUUGUGCUUAUGUUACUGAGAGCUCCACUGAGGGCUAGCAUGUCUGCAUGCGAGUACCUGUGCAUACUUCCCAUCAUGGCACCUACAGUAUAUUCCAUUGUAAGAAUAGCACAGGGACCCUGGUAAGUCUGUCCCAUAACAACACCCUGACCUAGAGCUAAACCCCAAAGUGGAGUGGCAGCGGCCCAUCAGAACCAAGGCCCUGAACGCGCCUGCAUCCUGACACCAGUGCAGGCCCAGCCAGGCAGGGGAGACAAGUGAAACCCGAGCCCACAUUAAAGCACCUUCAUCAGGUAGGAGAUCAGGGGAGGCCUCCAUGCUCUCAGUGUCUGCGGGGGUCCGGGCCUCUGAGGCCCUAUCUCACCUCCAUCUGGAAAGAGAAUCUGAGGGUAGCCUGAUGGUUCGAUAAGGGGCCAUGCCGACUGACGCGGUAACAGCC